rnacentral:siRNA from 1 species
ACACAAAGGUCCCGCACAGAGU